GAUGAAGAACGUAGCGAAAUGCGAUACUUGGUGUGAAUUGCAGAAUCCCGUGAACCAUCGAGUCUUUGAACGCAAGUUGCGCCUCAAGCCAUUAGGUUGAGGGCACGUCUGCCUGGGCGUCACAUAUCGUUGCCUGAUGCCAGUUUCCUCGUGAUGGGUGACUGUGCAGGGCGAAUGAUGGCUUCCCGUGAGCAUGGUUGCCUCAUGGUUGGUUGAAAAUUGAGUCCUUGGUAGGGAGCGCCGUGAUAGAUGGUGGUUGAGUGACGAACGAGACCCAAUCAUGUGAGACCCCUACCGAAUUUGGCCUUCAUGACCCACAUGCGUCUUUGGAACGCUCAUGACGAGACCUCAGGUCAGGCGGGGCUACCCGCUGAGUUUAAGCAUAUCAAUAAGCGGAGGA
rnacentral:misc_RNA from 1 species